rnacentral:lncRNA from 1 species
UUAAUAAAAGCAGGAAAGGAAGAAUCGAUAAUUAGAUAACGUAUAAGAUAAAAUGCAAAAUUAAUAUAAAAAAAUAGUUGUAAUUUAUAUAAAUAAACGUAUAUAAUAAUCUAAGGCCAUCAUAAGACAGUUCUCGUGUUGUCCUAACUUUAGGACCAAACUUAAGAGAUGUCCUGAUUUAGGAUCACUUUGUGAACCCACUUUGGACUUCGUGAAACUGGGCCUGAUUUCCCCGAUACUGUAUAGUGUUUAUUUUGAGCGAAAUAACUUGAUUGAUUGCGUUGAAAAAAAUAAAAUUGUUCUCGCGGGGCGCGAAUUGUUUUUUUUUUUUACUCAGACAAAAAAACAGCCCCCUUUUGAAGUUUAUCCCUAAUCGUUGGGGGGAAGGUGCUCCAAUGGACAAUUUGUUCGGAAAUACAAUGGAACAAACGUUUUUUAAACCUUUAUACAUUUUGAAACAUUUUUUUUAAAAGUAUUACCAAACACCAUAAAUCAUCUUAAAGAAACCAAUCCUCCCACAGAGGAUGACUGGCCAAACCUAUAUCUCAACACCGAGCCA